rnacentral:rRNA from 1 species
UGAGUUUGAUUCUGGCUCAGAACGAACGCUGGCGGCAGGCUUAACACAUGCAAGUCGAGCGCCCCUUCGGGGGAGCGGCAGACGGGUGAGUAACGCGUGGGAAUCUACCCUUUUCUACGGAAUAACUCAGGGAAACUUGAGCUAAUACCGUAUACGCCCUUUUGGGGAAAGAUUUAUCGGGGAAGGAUGAGCCCGCGUUUGAUUAGCUAGUUGGUGGGGUAAUGGCCUACCAAGGCGACGAUCAAUAGCUGGUCUGAGAGGAUGAUCAGCCACAUUGGGACUGAGACACGGCCCAAACUCCUACGGGAGGCAGCAGUGGGGAAUAUUGGACAAUGGGGGCAACCCUGAUCCAGCCAUGCCGCGUGAGUGAUGAAGGCCCUAGGGUUGUAAAGCUCUUUCAACGGUGAAGAUAAUGACGGUAACCGUAGAAGAAGCCCCGGCUAACUUCGUGCCAGCAGCCGCGGUAAUACGAAGGGGGCUAGCGUUGUUCGGAAUUACUGGGCGUAAAGCGCACGUAGGCGGAUCGUUAAGUGAGGGGUGAAAUCCCGGGGCUCAACCCCGGAACUGCCUUUCAUACUGGCGGUCUUGAGUUCG